rnacentral:rRNA from 1 species
AGUGAACGCUGGCGGUAGGCCUAACACAUGCAAGUCGAACGGCAGCACAGUAAGAGCUUGUUCUUACGGGUGGCGAGUGGCGGACGGGUGAGGAAUACAUCGGAAUCUACUUUUGCGAGGGGGAUAACGCAGGGAAACUUACGCUAAUACCGCAGACGACGUACGGGUGAAAGCAGGGGACCUUCGGACCUUGCGCGAUCGAAGGAGGCGAUGUCGGAUUAGCUAGUUGGAGGGGUAGAGGCCCACCAAGGCGACGAUCCGUAGCUGGUCUGAGAGGAUGAUCAGCCACACUGGAACUGAGACACGGUCCAGACUCCUACGGGAGGCAGCAGUGGGGAAUAUUGGACAAUGGGCGCAAGCCUGAUCCAGCCAUGCCGCGUGUGUGAAGAAGGUCUUCGGGUUGUAAAGCCCUUUUGUUGGGAAAGAAGAGCAGCAGGUUAAUACCCCGCUGUUCUGACGUUACCCAAAGAAUAAGCACCGGCUAACUUCGUG